GGGCCCCAGAUAUGCGAAUCUAAGGUGAUCGAGAAUUGUCCCAAGGUGCGAUCGCUCGAUGACUUGGCUCCAAAUUAAGUGGACAAAACCAUGGUGACCGUCUUUCAAGUCCGAGUCUUCCAAUUCUUCCAUGGAUGGAUAUCGAGCUCAAUUGAUUUCCCAUCAACAAAUCCUGUUAAGACUGCAAUACCACCAUGACCAAAUUUGCAAGAGUGGGGCUUUUUGGAAUGUAUUGUUAGCCAUUGACCUUGUGUUUUGGUGAGUCUCUGGAAUCAUUUGAGCCGAUUGUAGAAAAAACUUUGCAAGGGCACACAAAGUUGUAGAGAGUGCUGGGCCCAACACCACUAUGUUUGAAGAUGACCCUCCU
rnacentral:lncRNA from 1 species